UACGGGGGGAGCAAGCGUUGUUCGGAUUUACUGGGCGUAAAGGGCGCGUAGGCGGCCAGCGCAAGUCAGUUGUGAAAUCUCCGGGCUUAACUCGGAAAGGUCAACUGAUACUGCGCGGCUAGAGUGCAGAAGGGGCAACUGGAAUUCUCGGUGUAGCGGUGAAAUGCGUAGGUAUCGAGAGGAACACCUGCGGCGAAGGCGGGUUGCUGGGCUGACACUGACGCUGAUGCGCGAAAGCCAGGGGAGCGAACGGG
rnacentral:rRNA from 1 species